UACGGAGGGUGCAAGCGUUAUCCGGAAUCACUGGGUUUAAAGGGUGCGUAGGCGGCGCAAUAAGUCAGAGGUGAAAGCCUGCAGCUCAACUGUAGAAUUGCCUUUGAUACUGCUGCGCUUGAAUCAGGUUGAGGUUGGCGGAAUGUGACAUGUAGCGGUGAAAUGCAUAGAUAUGCCAUAGAACACCAAUUGCGAAGGCAGCUGACUGGACCUGUAUUGACGCUGAGGCACGAAAGCGUGGGGAGCAAACAGG
rnacentral:rRNA from 1 species